rnacentral:sRNA from 1 species
ACACGGGAAAGGAGGUGGUCCGAAGAAUGAUUUCUCAUCGGAUGCGUGAGGUGGCUGCUCGCUAGCAGCCCGCAGUAGGAACUCCGGCUGCGACGCGAAUCCAACAGCAGCCACCCGACCCGCAGGUGAGUCCGGACCAUCCACCGGACGGGGCUCGUCCGAGCCACUCCUGCGGGUCGCUGCUU